rnacentral:lncRNA from 1 species
GCCAAAGUAACUGGUAUUCAGGCAGAUAAAAGUUGGUGUUAUAUUGGUUGCUCUAAAUGUUCAAGGAAGCUCCAGUAAGAGAUUCUUCAUUCACAUGCAUCAAAUGUGAUAAACCCAAAGAGAUAACAAUGGUCCUAAUCAUGAUCUACCUGGAGAGAAUCGUGUAGCACCAGAAGUUGCAGAGGUAGCAGGAGGUGUGACAGCAGAAGUCGGAGAGACUACGAAUGUCAAGUCACCCAUCAACCAGCCUCAUCUGUUGUACCAGCAAGCGUUUGUCCUGCAGCAACCAAUCCGAUUCUUUACCAAAAACGGAGUGGAAAGAAGAAGGCACGCAUGGCAUAGCUCAACGUGGAAAAUGAAAAUCUCCACUACAUUUACUUUUUCUAAUAAUCUUCUCGGG